UGAACGCUGGCGGUAUGCCUAACACAUGCAAGUCGUACGAGAGUUUUUAACUCUAGUGGCGGACGGGUGAGUAACACGUGAGAAUUUGCCUUUAGGAGGGGGAUAACAAUUGGAAACGAAUGCUAAUACCCCAUAUGCUUUCGAGUGAAAUGGAUUUAUAUUUAUUCGCCUAAAGAGGAGCUCGCGGCUGAUUAGCUUGUUGGUAGAGUAAUAGCCUACCAAGGCGACGAUCAGUAUCUGGUUUGAGAGGACGAUCAGACACACUGGAACUGAGACACGGUCCAGACUCCUACGGGAGGCAGCAGUGGGGAAUUUUCCGCAAUGGGCGAAAGCCUGACGGAGCAAUACCGCGUGAGGGAAGACGGCCUAUGGGUUGUAAACCUCUUUUCUCAGGGAGGAAUUCAAUGACGUGUACCUGAGGAAUAAGCAUCGGCUAACUCC
rnacentral:rRNA from 1 species